rnacentral:tRNA from 1 species
GGGCCCGUAGCUCAGCCAGGAUAGAGCACCGGAAGAAGCUUUUUAGCUUCUGGUGAAGCUUUUAACCCGGGGGUCGCGGGUUCAAAGCCCGCCGGGCCCG